rnacentral:rRNA from 1 species
UUGGAGGGCAAGUCUGGUGCCAGCAGCCGCGGUAAUUCCAGCUCCAAUAGCGUAUAUUAAAGUUGUUGCAGUUAAAAAGCUCGUAGUUGAAUUUCGGGGUCAGUAGGUUGGUCGUGCCACAGGUAUGAACUGGUCUCACUGAUUCCUCCUUCCUGAUGAACCGUAAUGCCAUUAAUUUGGUGUUGCGGGGAGACUGGACUGUUACUUUGAAAAAAUUAGAGUGUUUAAAGCAGGCUAACGCUUGAAUACAUUAGCAUGGAAUAAUGAAAUAGGACGUUCGGUCUUAUUUUGUUGGUUUCUAAGAUUGACGUAAUGAUUAAUAGGGAUAGUUGGGGGCAUUAGUAUUCAAUUGUCAGAGGUGAAAUUCUUGGAUUUAUUGAAGACUAACUACUGCGAAAGCAUUUGCCAAGGAUGUUUUCAUUAAUCAAGAACGAAAGUUAGGGGAUCGAAGACGAUCAGGUACCGUCGUAGUCUUAACCAUAAACUAUGCCGACUAGGGAUCGGAUGAUGUUAAUUUUUUAAUGACUCAUUCGGCGCCUUACGGGAAAC